rnacentral:rRNA from 1 species
AGUGAACGCUGGCGGUAGGCCUAACACAUGCAAGUCGAACGGCAGCACAGUAAGAGCUUGCUCUUACGGGUGGCGAGUGGCGGACGGGUGAGGAAUACAUCGGAAUCUACUUUUUCGUGGGGGAUAACGUAGGGAAACUUACGCUAAUACCGCAUACGACCUACGGGUGAAAGCAGGGGAUCUUCGGACCUUGCGCGAUUGAAUGAGCCGAUGUCGGAUUAGCUAGUUGGCGGGGUAAAGGCCCACCAAGGCGACGAUCCGUAGCUGGUCUGAGAGGAUGAUCAGCCACACGGGAACUGAGACACGGUCAAGACUCCUAAGGGAGGCCGCAGUGGGGAAUAGUGGACAAUGGGCGCAAGCCUGAUCCAGCCAUAGCGCGUGGGUGAAGAAGGCCUUCGGGUUGGAAAGCCCUUUUGUUGGGAAAGAAAAGCAGCAGGUUAAUACCCAGCUGUUCUGACGGUACCCAAAGAAUAAGCACCGGCUAACUUCGUG